CCUACGGGAGGCAGCAGUGGGGAAUAUUGCACAAUGGGGGAAACCCUGAUGCAGCGACGCCGCGUGAGUGAAGAAGUAAUUCGGUAUGUAAAGCUCUAUCAGCAGGGAAGAAAAUGACGGUACCUGAGUAAGAAGCCCCGGCUACAUACGUGCCAGCAGCCGCGGUAAUACGUAGGGGGCAAGCGUUAUCCGGAUUUACUGGGUGUAAAGGGAGCGUAGACGGGAGUGCAAGUCUGGAGUGAAAGGCGGGGGCUCAACCCCCGGACUGCUGUGGAAACUGUACGGCUGGAGUGCAGGAGAGGUAAGUGGAAUUCCUAGUGUAGCGGUGAAAUGCGUAGAUAUUAGGAGGAACACCAGUGGCGAAGGCGGCUUACUGGACUGUAACUGACGUUGAGGCUCGAAAGCGUGGGGAGCAAACAGGAUUAGAUACCCCUGUAGUC
rnacentral:rRNA from 1 species